GCUAAGCAGGGCAUCCCUUCAGAAUCAGAACAACCUGACUCCCCCCCACCACCUCCCCUCUCCUUCAGUUUUACCCACUGAAGGAAUGUUGGAGUUUGCCGUGGUGGAGCACUUAGCAGCUUGAGGUCUGGGAGAGAAAACGUCGUCACGUGUACUGGGGUGACCAAUACUCUUAAGGCUUCCACAACGGCACUUCACUGGUCCAUCCACGAGAACCUCUGGCAGCACUGAUUCAGACCUUACGUGGCUCCCCUUCAGACCCAGCUAGAGUCUCCCACGACCCCCCCUGAUCCACACGGUGUCAGGCCAGCCAGACCUGCGUGCCCACCGACGGUUCCAGAAGGCCCAGAAGCAAGCCCC
rnacentral:lncRNA from 1 species